rnacentral:lncRNA from 1 species
AUGGAGAGACAGAUUAACCAGCAGUAUAGGCUGCAUCAAGGGCAGCCUGCCUCCUUUACCUCAUGCAGAGCUUCUUGGAAGCAUGCUCUACUUGGUUCAUUCUGGUUUGAGGUAUGGCAAUGGACAGCAGUGGUGGGUGGAAGAUAACACCUGUGUUGCUGCAGAUAUCUUCUCUAAACUCUUUGCAAAAUAAGGAUCCAUCAGCAAACUGACUAAGCUGGGACUUUUCUGCUGCAGCUCUUUUGGUGAUCUGUUUUGGCUUUUCAGUUUUUUUUGUUUAAUUUCAGUUCCCUAGUGCAGUG